rfam:Cephalotus follicularis DNA, scaffold: scaffold3919, isolate: St1.
GGGUGCGAUCAUACCAGCACUAAUGCACCGGAUCCCAUCAGAAUUCCGCAGUUAAGCGCUUGAGCGAGAAUAGUUCUAAGAUGGGCUUGUCUCAUGACUUUCAUAGAUUCAGGCUAGUGGCUUCACACC